GAUGAACGCUGACAGAAUGCUUAACACAUGCAAGUCAACUUGAAUUUGGGUUUUUAACUUAGAUUUGGGUGGCGGACGGGUGAGUAACGCGUAAAGAACUUGCCUCACAGCUAGGGACAACAUUUAGAAAUGAAUGCUAAUACCUGAUAUUAUGAUUUUAAGGCAUCUUAGAAUUAUGAAAGCUAUAAGCACUGUGAGAGAGCUUUGCGUCCCAUUAGCUAGUUGGAGAGGUAACAGCUCACCAAGGCGAUGAUGGGUAGCCGGCCUGAGAGGGUGAACGGCCACAAGGGGACUGAGACACGGCCCUUACUCCUACGGGAGGCAGCAGUGGGGAAUAUUGGACAAUGGACCAAGAGUCUGAUCCAGCAAUUCUGUGUGCACGAUGAAGUUUUUCGGAAUGUAAAGUGCUUUCAGUUGGGAAGAAAAAAAUGACGGUACCAACAGAAGAAGUGACGGCUAAAUACGUGCCAGCAGCCGCGGUAAUACGUAUGUCACGAGCGUUAUCCGGAUUUAUUGGGCGUAAAGCGCGUCUAGGUGGUUAUAUAAGUCUGAUGUGAAAAUGCAGGGCUCAACUCUGUAUUGCGUUGGAAACUGUAUAACUAGAGUACUGGAGAGGUAAGCGGAACUACAAGUGUAGAGGUGAAAUUCGUAGAUAUUUGUAGGAAUGCCGAUGGGGAAGCCAGCUUACUGGACAGAUACUGACGCUGAAGCGCGAAAGCGUGGGUAGCAAACAGG
rnacentral:rRNA from 1 species